rnacentral:rRNA from 1 species
UCAAGUUAUUAAGGGUGCAGGGCGGAUGCCUUGGCACUAGGAGCCGAUGAAGGACGUGAUAAGCUGCGAUAAGCUUCGGGGAGUUGCACGUAAACUUUGAUCCGAAGAUUUCCGAAUGAGGAAACUCACUUAGAGUAAUGUCUAAGUAUCAUUAAGUGAAUACAUAGCUUAAUGAGGGGAACUCAGGGAACUGAAACAUCUAAGUACCUGAAGGAAGAGAAAGAAAUUCGAUUCCGUAAGUAGCGGCGAGCGAACGCGGAUUAGCCCAAACCAAUAAAGUUUUCUUUAUUGGGGUUGCGGACAUAUCAUAACGAAGAGGUAUCGUAAUUGAAGAGGUUUGGAAAGACCCACCACAGAAGGUAAUAGUCCUGUAUGUUAAACGAGAAGACUUCAGAUAUGAUCCAGAGUACCACGGGACACGUGAAACCCUGUGGGAAGCAGGAGGGACCACCCUCCAAGGCUAAAUACUACCUAGUGACCGAUAGCGUAUAGUACCGUGAGGGAAAGGUGAAAAGAACCCCGGGAGGGGAGUGAAAUAGAACCUGAAACCCUGCACUUACAAGCUGUGGAAGCACAUUUCUUGUGUGACCGCGUACUUUUUGUAGAACGGGCCAACGAGUUACGUUAAGUAGCAAGGUUAAGCACUUAAGGUGUGGAGCCGUAGCGAAAGCGAGUUUUAACUGAGCGUUCAGUUACUUGACGUAGACCCGAAACCGGGCGACCUACCCAUGAGCAGGAUGAAGCGAAAGUAAAAUUUCGUGGAGGUCCGAACCCACGAGCGUUGAAAAGCUCGGGGAUGACUUGUGGGUAGCGGUGAAAUUCCAAUCGAGCCCGGAGAUAGCUGGUUCUCCCCGAAAUAGCUUUAGGGCUAGCCUCAAGGUGAGAGAUACGGAGGUAGAGCACUGAAUGUCCUAGGGGGUAUUGCACCUACCGAAGACUAUCAAACUCCGAAUGCCGUCAUCUUAUACUUGGGAGUCAGACUGUGGGUGAUAAGAUUCAUAGUCGAAAGGGCAACAGCCCAGAUCGUCAGCUAAGGUCCCUAAAUGUAAGUUAAGUGGUAAAGGAUGUGGGAUUGCACAGACAACCAGGAUGUUGGCUUAGAAGCAGCCACUCAUUCAAAGAGUGCGUAAUAGCUCACUGGUCGAGUGAUCCUGCGCCGAAGAUUUCCGGGGCUAAAACUUACUACCGAAGCUACGGCAUCAGUAAUGAUGGGUAGGGGAGCUUCCCAUACGGGUUGAAGCAUGACCGUAAGGACAUGUGGACAGUAUGGGAGUGAGAAUGUUGGCAUGAGUAGCGAGAUGUGGGUGAGAAUCCCACAGGCCGUAAACCCAAGGUUUCCAGGGGAAGGUUCGUCCGCCCUGGGUUAGUCGGGACCUAAGCUGAGGCCGAAAGGCGUAGGUGAUGGACAACAGGUUGAUAUUCCUGUACUACCGAUAACCGUUUGAGAGAAGGGAUGACACAGUAGGAUAAGCUAAGCACACUGUUGGUUAUGUGUGCCCAAGCAUUGAGGCAGUCAAAGUAGGCAAAUCCGCUUUGAUAAUGCUGGGAUGUGAUGGGGAGCGAAAUUUAGUAGCGAAGUAGCUGAUUUCACACUGUCAAGAAAAGUCUCUAUCGAGGUUAAAGGUACCCGUACCGCAAACCGACACAGGUGGGUGAGGAGAGUAUCCUAAGGCCAGCGAGAGAACUGUUGUUAAGGAACUCGGCAAAAUGACCCCGUAACUUAGGGAUAAGGGGUGCCACCAUCAGGUGGCCGCAGAGAAUAGGCCCAAGCGACUGUUUACCAAAAACAUAGGUUUCUGCUAAGUCGCAAGACGAUGUAUAGGAGCUGACGCCUGCCCGGUGCUGGAAGGUUAAGGGGAUCUGUUAGAGCAAUCGAAGCAGUGAACUUAAGCCCCAGUAAACGGCGGCCGUAACUAUAACGGUCCUAAGGUAGCGAAAUUCCUUGUCGGGUAAGUUCCGACCCGCACGAAAGGCGUAACGAUUUGGGCACUGUCUCAACAACAGACUCGGUGAAAUUGUAAUUCCGGUGAAGAUGCCGGAUACCUGCGACAGGACGGAAAGACCCCAUGGAGCUUUACUGUAGCUUGACAUUGGGUCUUGGUACUACAUGUACAGGAUAGGUGGGAGGCUUUGAAACCAGGACGCCAGUUUUGGCGGAGCCAUCCUUGGGAUACCACCCUUGUAGUACUGGGACUCUAACCAUAGGCCAUGAAUCUGGUCUUGGGACACUGUCAGGUGGGCAGUUUGACUGGGGCGGUCGCCUCCCAAAAGGUAACGGAGGCGCUCAAAGGUUCUCUCAGUACGGUCGGAAAUCGUACGUAGAGUGUAAAGGCAAAAGAGAGCUUGAUUGCAAGACAUACAGGUCGAGCAAGGAUGAAAAUCGGACUUAGUGAUCCGGUGGUUCUGCGUGGAAGGGCCAUCGCUCAACGGAUAAAAGCUACCCUGGGGAUAACAGGCUUAUCUCCCCCAAGAGUCCACAUCGACGGGGAGGUUUGGCACCUCGAUGUCGGCUCAUCACAUCCUGGGGCUGUAGUAGGUCCCAAGGGUUGGGCUGUUCGCCCAUUAAAGUGGUACGCGAGCUGGGUUCAGAACGUCGUGAGACAGUUCGGUCCCUAUCCGUCGCAGGCGUAGGAAAUUUGAGAAGACCUGUCCUUAGUACGAGAGGACCGGGAUGGACGUACCUCUGGUGUACCAGUUGUUCUGCCAAGGGCAUGGCUGGGUAGCUAUGUACGGAAUGGAUAAGCGCUGAAAGCAUCUAAGCGCGAAGCCAACUUCAAGAUAAGAUUUCCCACCG